rnacentral:lncRNA from 1 species
GAAAAACGUAUGCAUUAAUAAUUCCUACCCCAAUGACUUUAAAAAACAAUCCUAACAUACAAAUGAUUUAUGCUAUAAAUUCUUGCCAUGAAAUACAUUAAUCCUAAGGAGAUGUUUUUUGCUCUUCUUCUCCUUUAAUUUGCUAUGGGACGGUUAGUUCUUCUUUCUUCUCUUUUGUUCAUAAAUUUAUUUUUCAAUUGACCAAUUUAUAUAUUAUUUCUAAUAAAAAGUUUAUUGUUUUCUUAAAUUGAUGCUUUUUUUUUUGCAAUUUUGCACUCAAAUUUUCUGCAUAACAAUUAGGAUCAAGAGAAUUUGAUAUUUACAUAAAAAAAUUGAUAUUUUUUGUGUGUUUGCAGAUAACAAAAUGCAUCAAUCCUAAGGAGAUGUUUUUUGCUCUUCUUCUCCUUUAAUUUGCUAU